rnacentral:rRNA from 1 species
ACGAACGCUGGCGGCGUGCUUCACACAUGCCAGUCGAACGGAAAGGCCCUGCUUUUGUGGGGUGCUCGAGUGGCGAACGGGUGAGUAACACGUGAGUAACCUGCCCUUGACUUUGGGAUAACUUCAGGAAACUGGGGCUAAUACCGGAUAGGAGCUCCUGCUGCAUGGUGGGGGUUGGAAAGUUUCGGCGGUUGGGGAUGGACUCGCGGCUUAUCAGCUUGUUGGUGGGGUAGUGGCUUACCAAGGCUUUGACGGGUAGCCGGCCUGAGAGGGUGACCGGCCACAUUGGGACUGAGAUACGGCCCAGACUCCAACGGGAGGCAGCAGUGGGGAAUAUUGCACAAUGGGCGGAAGCCUGAUGCAGCAACGCCGCGUGCGGGAUGACGGCCUUCGGGUUGUAAACCGCUUUCGCCUGUGACGAAGCGUGAGUGACGGUAAUGGGUAAAGAAGCACCGGCUAACUACGUG